AAUUAAUGAGCUCUUGAUCCAACGCCUCACACUUUUUCUCAUUUUUAAUUUCUGAUUUUAAUUUCCAUUUAAUUUCUUUUAUUCCAUUGUUUUCAAAAAUUCAUAUCUUCUUCAUUUUAAAUCCAAAAAUUAUGGGACCAAUUGCAUUAGUCUCCAAAUAAAUUCUAGUUUCUAUUUCUGAUUUUUAAUAUUUUUUAUUUUAUCAUUUGAUAUUU
rnacentral:lncRNA from 1 species